UACGUAGGGUGCAAGCGUUAAUCGGAAUUACUGGGCGUAAAGCGUGCGCAGGCGGUGAUGUAAGACAGAUGUGAAAUCCCCGGGCUCAACCUGGGAACUGCAUUUGUGACUGCAUCGCUGGAGUGCGGCAGAGGGGGAUGGAAUUCCGCGUGUAGCAGUGAAAUGCGUAGAUAUGCGGAGGAACACCGAUGGCGAAGGCAAUCCCCUGGGAUAACACUGACGCUCAUGCACGAAAGCGUGGGGAGCAAACAGG
rnacentral:rRNA from 1 species